UACGAAGGGUGCAAGCGUUAAUCGGAAUUACUGGGCGUAAAGCGCGCGUAGGUGGUUCGUUAAGUUGGAUGUGAAAGCCCCGGGCUCAACCUGGGAACUGCAUCCAAAACUGGCGAGCUAGAGUACGGUAGAGGGUGGUGGAAUUUCCUGUGUAGCGGUGAAAUGCGUAGAUAUAGGAAGGAACACCAGUGGCGAAGGCGACCACCUGGACUGAUACUGACACUGAGGUGCGAAAGCGUGGGGAGCAAACAGGAUUAGAAACCCCUAGUAGUCC
rnacentral:rRNA from 1 species